CGGGGAGAACAUACAAACUCCAUGCAGAUGUUGUCCUUGGUCGAAUUCAGACCUACGACCCCAGCACUGCAAGGCACCAUUGCUAACAACUGAGCCACCGCACUGUCAUCUAGAAUGGCUA